rnacentral:rRNA from 1 species
AUUGAACGCUGGCGGCAGGCCUAACACAUGCAAGUCGAACGGUAACAGAAAGCAGCUUGCUGCUUUGCUGACGAGUGGCGGACGGGUGAGUAAUGUCUGGGAAACUGCCUGAUGGAGGGGGAUAACUACUGGAAACGGUAGCUAAUACCGCAUAACGUCGCAAGACCAAAGAGGGGGACCUUCGGGCCUCUUGCCAUCGGAUGUGCCCAGAUGGGAUUAGCUAGUAGGUGGGGUAACGGCUCACCUAGGCGACGAUCCCUAGCUGGUCUGAGAGGAUGACCAGCCACACUGGAACUGAGACACGGUCCAGACUCCUACGGGAGGCAGCAGUGGGGAAUAUUGCACAUUGGGCGCAAGCCUGAUGCAGCCAUGCCGCGUGUAUGAAGAAGGCCUUCGGGUUGUAAAGUACUUUCAGCGGGGAGGAAGGGAGUAAAGUUAAUACCUUUGCUCAUUGACGUUACCCGCAGAAGAAGCACCGGCUAACUCCGUG